GUUAAAUUUGGUGAGUGUUGGUUCAGUUCGGUCUCAUUUUCAUUCCAACAUUUCAACUCAAAGUGAACAGUCAACCAACGAUUUGUGUCCUAAACUAAAGAACUACUAUUUUUCUGCGUAUUUGAAAGCUCCCCGUUUUACCAUGUCCUGGUACUACACCCCUCACCCAACCGUAUUUGCUGCGGAAGAGUUUGACGCGUCGGUCGAUGCGGCAGCCUUGCGGAAGGCCAUGAAGGGUUUCGGCACCGAUGAGCAGGCCAUCAUCGAUAUUCUCUGUGCUCGCAGCAACCAGCAGCGGCAAGAGAUCUCGGAGGCGUUUACUCGCGACCUGGGCCGGGACCUCAUCGAGGAUUUGAAAUCGGAGCUGGGCGGCAAGUUUGAGGAUGUCAUCAUUGGGCUCAUGAUGCCUCCGGAAAAGUACCUGUGCAAGCAACUGCAUAAAGCCAUGGACGGCAUCGGUACCAACGAGAAAACGCUAAUCGAGAUACUGUGCUCGCUGAACAACGACCAGAUCAAGACCGUUGUCAGUUGCUACGAGGAGAUGUACAACCGUCCGUUGGCCGAGCAUUUGUGCAGUGAAACGUCGGGCAGCUUUCGUCGUUUGCUAACCAUGAUUAUCAUUGGCUCCCGUGACCCGCAAGGGACUGUAGAUCCGGAGCUGGCCACCGAACAGGCCAACCAGUUGUACAACGCUGGCGAGGGCAAGCUGGGAACGGAUGAGGAAGUGUUUUACAAAAUAAUGGCCCACGCUAGCUACGAUCAACUAGAGCGGGUUUUCGACGAAUACAAAAACCUUACCGGACGUACCAUUGAGCAAGCUUUGAAAGCCGAACUAAGCGGAGAGAUGUACGAUGCUCUCAGUGCCAUCGUCGAAUGUGUACAAAUGGCGCCACAUUUCUUUGCUAAACGCCUUCACAAAGCAAUGGACGGCUUGGGAACGGACGAUGCCACGUUGAUUCGGAUCAUUAUUGGACGGUCUGAAAUCGAUUUACAAAACAUUAAGGACGAAUUCGAGCAAAUGUACAACAAGUCGCUGCACAGCGUUGUCAAGGACGAAACAUCCGGCGACUACAAGCGUGCUUUAUUGGCAAUUAUUGGGCACGCAUAAAUGUAUUCUAACUUAUGUUUUUUAGAAUUUCGAAUCUCUACAUUAUGUAUAAGUGAUUGGGUAACUCAAAAAUUAUUGAAUAAUCUGCCAAAUGAGAACAAUUCUCGAGAAUCGGAUGCCUUCAAGUGGCUUAGUGUUGUAUCGUUUUGCGUGAAAUUUAUAUGUGGUACCAGUUUUUGGAUGCAUAUUCGUCCAUUACUCAAAGAGCAACUUACUAUCCAAUGGGUUCCACAAACUCCACCAGAAGUCUGGCCAAGAAGAUGACCAUCUGGAGUAGCUACCGCAUCCACAGCUACAGGAAGCCACCACCGAGCCCAGAUGGAGAAACCCUUUUCAA